CAAAAUGACGUUUCGGGGUCCGUGCGGAUCCCUUGUUCACAAUGGAUUCCAUUGUGAACAGGGGAUCCGUACGGACCCCGAAACGUCAUUU
rnacentral:pre_miRNA from 1 species